rnacentral:tRNA from 1 species
GCCUGGGUGGCUCAGUCGGUUAAGUGUCUGACUUCAGCUCAGGUCAUGAUCUCACGGUUUGUGAGUUCGAGCCCCACAUCAGGCU